UGAUACCAUAUUUUACUUCUUUAGCUCCCUUCUUUGAUUGCUUAUUCUCUACUCCCCCUCAACAUAGCAAACAUAAAGGAUAUAUCAAUUUGCUCAUCUAGAAGAUAUUGCAAUUCAUAGUAUUUCUCAGCACUAAUAUGAGUUAUAUUUCAUAUCUCAUAAUUAAAAUAAUUCAAUUUGAUCACAUUCAUAGACAUUCAUUGAAAGUC
rnacentral:lncRNA from 1 species